rnacentral:lncRNA from 1 species
UGAGCUACAGUCUGUCCAUAUAUAAUGGAAUUACUGUGUUUAGUUUGUUACUGUAGGAUUUUCUUUCUUGUCACAAUUAAUAUUAAGAAAGGACGAUCCAUCAUCUAGUUUGUUCAUUUGCUAGGUAUUGUAAUUUUUGUUUGAAGGCUAUAUUUUAGAAUGUAUAAUGUUGGCAAUUCUUUGUUUGGAAAUGAAUGACUUUUGAUAACGAGCUUAAUCCACAAUA